rnacentral:rRNA from 1 species
CGCACGAAAGGCGUAACGAUCUGGGCACUGUCUCAACGAGAGACUCGGUGAAAUUAUAAUACCCGUGAAGAUGCGGGUUACCCGCGACAGGACGGAAAGACCCCAUGGAGCUUUACUGUAACUUGAUAUUGAGUGUUUGUACAGCUUGUACAGGAUAGGUAGGAGCCGUAGAAUCCGGAACGCUAGUUUCGGAGGAGGCGCAAGUGGGAUACUACCCUCGUUGUAUGAACCCUCUAACCCGCGCCACUAAUCGUGGCGGGAGACAGUGUCUGGUGGGCAGUUUGACUG